GCGCUGAGGAGAGCGCCGGGCGGGGCCGGGCCGGGCCACGGGAGGAGGCGCAGCUGCCGGAUUCAUUCACGGGGCGGGAUCGGGUAACCGAAGGGCGAGCGAAGGCCUUCGCGGGGGCCUGGCGCUGCCCCCGGGCCCGGCUGCGGUCCGCAGAGCUCUCCUCAGGCGGCGCCCGCCGCCCCUCGGAGCGCUCCCAGCGCGCAGGCGGCACAGGGCGCUUCGGCACGGCGCCUUCUACGUGCUCCUUUCCUUUCCCAACUCAGUUCCGUGUUUUUCCCGGCCUUGUGCAAUGCUCGCUCAGCACGGCUGCGUGCAGCUCGUGGUUCCGCUGCGCUGCUGUCCCGCGGGUGGGCUCGGCCCUGCCCCGCUGUCUCCCAAAACUUGGAGUUUACCGUUAAAAACGCGGGAUUUUUUUUUUUAAAUUUUUCAUCACUAAGGACUCGAGAGCAUAUUUGGGCAUUUAGAAAUAAAAGCAAGUUCUCGUUCUUUUCCCGUCUUGUGUAACACCAAGCACAGUGCUCACGCUGGGUAGAUGCACUCACUGUGUUACUUCUGUAGGAAAGGUUGGAAAGAAAAUACGAGGGAAGAACGUCGGGAGAAAGGUCCCCUUCUAGGGAACGCCAGUGUCCCGGUGCCAGGUCGUAGGCCAGGGCUCCAAGUUUGGCUGCAGCGACAGCAGCAGUUACCUUCAGUGCGAGCUGCCACUGGCUCUCUAGAGACUGUAGCUAUACGUGGAAAUUGUGAAUAAAACAUUGUCUGUUGAAAAAUGUAAAUACAAAUAAAAACAUAAGUUCUAAACUUGCACACAGUAUAUAUAUAUCUAUACGGGUAUGACAUUACACACGGAAAAAGAUCAAAAGGAGCUGGGUCUAUUCGUGUCGUCCCCGCACAAAGUCAGCUUCCGCCAGCUGCCCGACUCCUCCAUGAGAAUAAGUGGCACGGUCCCAGAGCCAGCGCUCUGCCUGCACGCCGCUUCUGUGGUGGAUCCUCACCCUAAAACCCAACACUUGGUAAAGAUUAAAACAUUUUACUGCACGAGCUGGAGAAGCAGCGGGUGCUCCAGGCAGCCUCAGUCAGCUGUGCAGGAAGCCCGGGCGCUCGGGUACUCGUCAGGGCGUGGUUUUGAAGGAAUGCGUGCACAAGCGCUGACAGUGCCGUGGCAGGUACAAAAGCUGACUCAGACCUUCCAAGCUCAGAUUCGUAACACUUCUGCACGUCCUGAUUCAGCUGACAGUUCGUUUUGUGCACUUGUGACAGCAGCUGGUGGAAGCCCUCCAGAGACCCGACUCCAGGUGCAGCAGCAUAACGCCAAUCACUGGGCACGCAGACCAGGAGGAUUUCCACUCCCUCCCAGUUGCUCCAUUCAUCUGCGGACGCUGUAUCAUUUCUCAGAUGCUGUUUAGAGUACAACCACACAAACCAUUCAGUCAGCACAACUGGAGGUGCAGGGAGCUCCUCGAGGCUCAGAACCUGCCUGCUCCUUUCCAGAGAACAGAAGAUUGGGUUCCUUGACCCAGCUGCGCCCUGGAAGAAUUCAUCACACAGGACCACGCUGAGAUGAUAUAAAUAACCAGCAGAAAACAGUUUAUAUGGCAUGCAUCUAAAAAGUAACCACAAGCUCUGUAUAGGAAUACAGGAGACAGAAAAGCGGAAUGAGUUCUGAACCACAACAUUUUGUUGUGGAGGACAAAAAGGGCUCCACAAAGAGUCCACAUUCUGCUUUUUCCCCCCCAACUAAUGAUUCUCCUGAGCCUGAGCCUUCCGGUACCUGCAAUUGAGGAGAUGUGAUGAAAAGCUCUUCCUGCUAUAUAACCACUCUUUCCUAAGGACAGUUCCAGAUGUGCUGCGACCCAUUUUCAGACUUUGUGAAGGAAUCGAAGAACAUCCUGAAGGUUCUAUGUAGAACUUCAGAAUUCCAGCAUGUUUCCCAAUAAAUAAAUAAAAUAACAAUUCA
ensembl:lncRNA